rnacentral:rRNA from 1 species
CCUACGGGAGGCUGCAGUGGGGAAUAUUGCACAAUGGGGGAAACCCUGAUGCAGCAACGCCGCGUGAGUGAGGAAGUAUUUCGGUAUGUAAAGCUCUAUCAGCAGGGAAUAGAAAAGAAGGUACCUGAAAAAGAAGCCCCGGCUAACUACGUGCCAGCAGCCGCGGUAAUACGUAGGGAGCGAGCGUUGUCCGGAAUUACUGGGCGUAAAGGGCGCGUAGGCGGGAACUUAAGUUAGAUGUGAAAACUCCGGGCUUAACCUGGAGACUGCAUUUAAAACUGGGUUUCUUGAGGGCAGGAGAGGAAAGUGGAAUUCCUAGUGUAGCGGUGAAAUGCGUAGAUAUUAGGAGGAACACCAGUGGCGAAGGCGACUUUCUGGACUGUACCUGACGCUGAGGCGCGAAAGCAUGGGGAGCGAACAGGAUUAGAUACCCUAGUAGUC